UGAACGCUGGCGGCAUGGCUAAAACAUGCAAGUCGUGGGAGAAGCACUUCGGGUGUGGACACCGGCGAAAGGGCGAGUAACGCGAUCGAACGUACCCCGAGGUGGGGGAUAGCGUCGGGAAACCGGCGGUAAUACCCCAUGUGCUCUACUGAGGAAAGCUCCGGCGCCUUGGGAGCGGCGAUCGUCCUAUCAGGUUGUUGGUGAGGUAACGGCUCACCAAGCCGAAGACGGGUAGCGGGUGUGAGAGCAUGACCCGCCGCAUCGGGACUGAGACACUGCCCGGACUCCUACGGGAGGCUGCAGUAACGAAUCUUCCGCAAUGCACGCAAGUGUGACGGAGCAAUGCCGCGUGUGGGAUGAAGCGGUUCCGCCGUGUAAACCACUGUCAGGGUCUAGGAAGAACUGACCAGACCCAGAGGAAGGGCCGGCUAAUCUCGUGCCAGCAGCCGCGGUAAGACGAGAGGCCCAAGCGUUAGGCGGAUUCACUGGGCUUAAAGGGUGCGUAGGCGGAUUGGCAAGCAUCUCGUGAAAACCCUCGGCUCAACCGAGGAAUUGCGGGGUGAACUGCCUGUCUUGAGGAAGGCAGAGGCUGUCGGAACGUUCGGUGGAGCGGUGAAAUGCGUAGAUAUCGAACGGAACGCCAAAGGGGUAGCCAGGCAGCUGGGCCUUACCUGACGCUGAGGCACGAAAGCGUGGGGAUCAAACAGGAUUAGAUACCCUGGUAGUCCACGCCGUAAACGAUGUGCACUAGCUCGAUGCAGAUCUGACUCUGUGUCGGGCGCCGAGAAAUCAUUAAGUGC
rnacentral:rRNA from 1 species